UCCUCCGGCCGUCGCGGCGGAGGUCACUUACGACCCUUCUGAAUUCAAGGGCGACAAAGACGGCGGCUUUAUGGUGUUGGCCAAGUACAUAGGCGUGUUCGGCAAACCGGAGAACCAGAAGCCGGAGAAGAUCGCCAUGACUGCUCCGGUGAUCACCAAGGAGGGAGAGAAGAUCGCCAUGACUGCUCCGGUUGUGACCAAGGAAGGAGGAGGAGGGGAUGAGAAGAAGACGGUGACGAUGCAGUUUCUGUUGCCGGAGGUGUACAAGAAGGCGGAGGAUGCGCCGCUUCCGACGGAUGAGAGGGUGGUGAUUAAGGAGGAAGGAGGGA
rnacentral:lncRNA from 1 species